UCCAAUUUGAUGAAAGGCAACCGGGACUGAGGUGGGGCAACAAGUUCGGGAUUAUCCUCCUCCCCGUUCACUACAGCAGAAGCUGUGGUGACCCUCUCGAAUACCUGAGAAAAGCUAAGUCGAUGAUGGACCGGAAGAAGAAAUCUCUGGAGGCUCACUUCUCCUACAAAAUCGGGGAUAUGGCCAUGACUUUUUUAGGAGCACAUGUCGCAAGCCUGCUCAACUAAGGAUCGUCUGCAACACCACGUUCAGCAUCUCGAACGUGUUCGGCCCACGAGAGGAGAUCACGUUUGGGGGGAACCCCAUCACAUACAUAAGGGCGAACGUCUCGAGUUUACCCCACGCACUCACGAUGCACAUGGUGAGCUAUGCGGGGAGGGCGGACAUGCAAUUUCUGGUGGCCAAGGACAUCAUCCACGACCCUGAUUUUCUGGCCAAGUGCUUGGAGGAUGCUUACUCGAAAUGAAAGCAGCAGCUUCUACUGCCUUGAACUCGAAGAAGUAAACAGGGAAACAUUCCUGUGGGGUUAGGAGGGGAAAUUCUGUAUUUUAUUCUUAUAGAUGUGGGAUUAUACACGGGGAUAUGAUGUUCUAUUGGGACGAGAAGAACCAUUUUAGGCCAUCGAUCCGAAUUUCGUCUUAUGUCUUACUUGAUUGAUGAAGUUAGUAGGGUGUUGUUCAAGCUCAGGAUCCAUCCACUCUAUGUUGAGCUCCAAGCAAUUGAAAAGAGAAAUGAAGAGAACAAAGUCAAUUGUAUGGCAAAUAAAGCUGGGUACACUAAAUUUUAAGAUGAUGGGACAGGUUUAUGUUAUUUGUAUGGCCACUUAGGUCUACCUUUGAUAACAUCAAUUUAACACACAAUUUCUCUAUCAAUCUUG